GUGAAUCCUGAUGCCUUGCUCAUGGUGCGUUUCUGUGUCAGCAGGAGGAAGUGGGGACUGAGAACCGAAGGAACACCAGAACCAAGCUCACUCCAAAGAAAGCAGAGAGCUCUUCCUCAGGUUGUCGGUUUGACUCCCAGAGCAGCAGGAAGGACGGCACGCUGCAGAAGAUCGGAGACUUCCUGCAGAGCUCCCCGACUCUGCUGGGCUCCAAAGCCAAGAAGAUGAUGAGCCUGGUCAGCGGCCGUCUGGACCCAGACUCAGCAGCCGCCUCUUCCUCCCUCAGCCUGAGGGCCAAGAGGGGCAGAAAGAAACUCUACAGACCUGAAAUCUCCUGCCCCAUGGACAUGCCCCCCCACCCGACCUGGCAGAAGUGACAAAGCCACCAAGCGACGAUGGAAGAAGAGGAAGAAGAGGACACAAGUGUGGAUGAAGAUGAGGAGGAUGGACUAACACUUGGUUGCUUAGCA